UUACAGUUCUUCCCCCAAAUUACAAGGAAUGGAGGCUGGGAAACUACAUUUCUGAGACUCUUUCAUCAUCAGGAUGCCAGAUAAUAUUUUAA
rnacentral:lncRNA from 1 species